GUGGGGAAUAUUGGACAAUGGGCGAAAGCCUGAUCCAGCAAUGCCGCGUGAGUGAAGAAGGCCUUCGGGUUGUAAAGCUCUUUUACCCGGGAAGAUAAUGACUGUACCGGGAGAAUAAGCCCCGGCUAACUCCGUGCCAGCAGCCGCGGUAAUACGGAGGGGGCUAGCGUUGUUCGGAAUUACUGGGCGUAAAGCGCACGUAGGCGGUCUUUUAAGUCAGAGGUGAAAGCCCGGGGCUCAACUCCGGAAUUGCCUUUGAAACUGGGAGACUUGAACACGGGAGAGGUGAGUGGAAUUCCGAGUGUAGAGGUGAAAUUCGUAGAUAUUCGGAGGAACACCAGUGGCGAAGGCGGCUCACUGGACCGUUGUUGACGCUGAGGUGCGAAAGCGUGGGGAGCAAACAGGAUUAGAUACCCCGGUAGUCC
rnacentral:rRNA from 1 species